AAUACCUCACUGAUAGACAGAACCUCUCCGUUACUUUUCUUUACUUUUUUUAACUUCGCCAUGAAGUACCAAAAUCUGGACUUUGCAGUCACUUCAUCUGGUGCAAAGAUGUUCAUACGAUACAAUGGCGGGUUGGGCAGCUUUGCCGUUGGGAGAUGUCGCCCAACGACCUUGUACUGUUUCAACUAUAAAAGUGAACAAAAAGGUAGCUUUAUUAGAAAUUUGUAAAGCAUCAAUAUUCGUGGGAGACACCCAUACCAGUUUGGAAAGUUUAUUUUCAUAAUCUCGGGUGCACAAUUUCCAAGCUUUCCUGUCACUAGGGUUUGUACAACUUUGUCUGUUUGAAUUUCCAGAAUUUUCCAUAGCCCUUACAUCAAAAUUUCCAAAUAGCAACUUCUUAAAAAGUAAUACUAAGUAACAAAAAAUAUACUAUUGAUAUUUGCACAUAAUAUUUGAACGUUAUUUCAGGCUCUGAGCAAGUGAUUAACUUACCUUAGAUUGUGCCUAUUAAAAGUUCAUUGUCUAACAUGUACCCCUGUCAACCCAUUGGUGCACAAAAUUCUCCCCUUGACGAGUAAAACCGUCUUGUGUUAGACAAAGUAAAAUCAUUACUGAUAUAUUACGAUACCUUGUCUAACAUAUCUGUGAAAACAAACCACACAAGUUGGUCUUGACCAAAAGUAAACUGGUAUAAAUGUAUCUAUUUUAUAUAUGAAACUAUUGGAAAGGCUUGGUUAUUGAAUGAUUUUAUAUUUCAGAUUUUCAGUGCAAUUUUUACUUUUCUAAACAAAAUCGGCCAAACCAGUACUACGGCUCGAUCACACAAAAGAGCACAAUUUUCUCUGCACUUUAGCGAAGGUAUACAACACAAUUUAGC
rnacentral:lncRNA from 1 species